CAUCGGAUCGCAGGGCUCCCAAAAUGGCGAGUGAGGCUGCGGGGACUCGCUGAGCAGCGGAGGGGGAGCGUGCAGAGCCGCUGCGGCCCUCACAGUCCGGAGCCCGGCCGUGCCGUGCCGUAGGGAACAUGCACUUUUCCAUUCCCGAAACCGAGUCCCGCAGCGGGGACAGCGGCGGCUCCGCCUACGUGGCCUAUAACAUUCACGUGAAUGGAGUCCUGCACUGUCGGGUGCGCUACAGCCAGCUCCUGGGGCUGCACGAGCAGGUGGGACUAGCACCCCUGCCUUGAGACAGCUUCAAGCCCUUCCCUACACGUGGACAUCAGUGUCUCCCUUUACCCGCUCUUCUUGUUCCCGUAGGCUGUAGUUCCCCUUUAAUCACUGCCACAGGCUUCGGAAGGAGUAUGGGGCCAAUGUGCUUCCUGCAUUCCCCCCAAAGAAGCUUUUCUCUCUGACUCCUGCUGAGGUAGAACAGAGGAGAGAGCAGUUAGAGAAGUACAUGCAAGCUGUUCGGCAAGACCCAUUGCUUGGGAGCAGCGAGACUUUCAACAGUUUCCUGCGUCGGGCACAACAGGAGACACAGCAGGUCCCCACAGAGGAAGUGUCCUUGGAAGUGCUGCUCAGCAACGGGCAGAAAGUUCUGGUCAACGUGCUAACUUCAGAUCAGACUGAGGAUGUCCUGGAGGCUGUAGCUGCAAAGCUGGAUCUUCCAGAUGACUUGAUUGGAUACUUUAGUCUAUUCUUAGUUCGAGAAAAAGAGGAUGGAGCCUUUUCUUUUGUACGGAAGUUGCAAGAGUUUGAGCUGCCUUAUGUGUCUGUCACCAGCCUUCGGAGUCAAGAGUAUAAGAUUGUGCUAAGGAAGAGUUAUUGGGACUCUGCCUAUGAUGACGAUGUCAUGGAGAACCGGGUUGGCCUGAACCUGCUUUAUGCUCAGACGGUAUCAGAUAUUGAGCGUGGGUGGAUCUUGGUCACCAAGGAACAGCACCGGCAACUCAAAUCUCUGCAAGAGAAAGUCUCCAAGAAGGAGUUCCUGAGACUGGCCCAGACGCUGCGGCACUAUGGCUACUUGCGCUUUGAUGCCUGUGUGGCUGACUUCCCAGAAAAGGACUGUCCUGUGGUGGUGAGCGCGGGCAACAGUGAGCUCAGCCUGCAGCUCCGCCUGCCUGGCCAGCAACUCCGAGAAGGCUCCUUCCGGGUCACCCGCAUGCGAUGCUGGCGGGUCACCUCCUCUGUACCAUUGCCCAGUGGAAGCACGAGCAGCCCAGGCCGGGGCCGGGGUGAGGUGCGCCUGGAACUGGCUUUUGAAUACCUCAUGAGCAAGGACCGGCUACAGUGGGUCACCAUCACUAGCCCCCAGGCUAUCAUGAUGAGCAUCUGCUUGCAGUCCAUGGUUGAUGAACUGAUGGUGAAGAAAUCUGGCGGCAGUAUCAGGAAGAUGCUGCGCCGGCGGGUGGGGGGUACUCUGAGACGCUCAGACAGCCAGCAAGCAGUGAAGUCCCCACCACUGCUUGAGUCACCUGAUGCCACCCGGGAGUCUAUGGUCAAACUCUCAAGUAAGCUGAGUGCCGUGAGCUUGCGGGGAAUUGGCAGUCCCAGCACAGAUGCCAGUGCCAGUGAUGUCCACGGCAAUUUCGCCUUCGAGGGCAUUGGAGAUGAGGAUCUGUAAUCUCCACUGCUUGGAUGUCUGCCCUCUACCCCAGAGGAAUUUACAGAAACUUGCCCUGUGCCUGUGUCCCCCAUGCUAGGGGCGGAGGGGUCUUUUCCUUCUUCUUUCCUACCUACCCCUUUUCUCUUGGCCAGGGGCCUCGUAUCCUACCUUUCCUUGUCCCCUGGGCUGGCUGCACAGAGGAUUGCCCCUUCUCUUUUCAGAGCUGGCCCUCGAUGCCAAAUUAGCAUUUAGUAUUUUGCACAAAGUCUAAGGGACCAUGGCUGCCUGCCUUGGGGAGGAACCAUAUCUCCCUCUGGGCCGCUUCUGGCCUCUUGGAGCCAUGGGCCAAAGGCCAAGGGGAUGGGCAGAGGUCUGUGUUUGGUCUGGCCCAGUUCCCCAUCAUUAAACUCAGCCUGACUGCUGCCUACCUCUGGUUCCCUCUCACUGCCCCUGCUUCCCCCAUCACAGCAUGGACUACUAUGCUAAGGGUAAGGCCAAAUUGCCUGCCAUUGCCAAUUCAGCAUAGACAUGGCUUUGUUAGUGUUUCCUUUAUUAUAAAGCACUGAAAUAAGUUAAAUAAACAGGUGGGAGGCUGGGCAGUCCCCCAGCCGGUUUGUCCACAGCCCCUGGGGGCAGUGGAGGUGAAUACAGGGCCCUUCUCACUGAGCUCGUGAAGUGCCUCAGUCAAGGCAAGGUCCCCUGGUCCAUAUGGGCCCCCCCGCCCAUGGGGUUGGGCUGGUCCUUAUAGUGCCUACGUUAGUCUGUGUGGAGCCCCUGGCCAGCGGGGGAGAAAAAGGUGGCUUCUGGUCCGUCUGUAUAAAACAUGGGGAAGAA